UUUGCAUUUGUUUUUUUUGUUUUUUUAUUAAUUUGUUGUUUUUUUUUCAGAAAAAAAAAAAGAUGUUAAAUAAACUAAAUAAAUGACCAGCAUAGAAAUAAUGCUAAGUUGUAACCAACAAAAUUUUGCAAAAUUGAAAAACAAAGAGACUACAACUCAACUCAGUAAUACAAUAAUUGUAAACAAAACUAUCUACAUAUACCAUGCACUCUCUGGAAGGAGUUCCUGCAUUAUAGACUUAAUUCAAAUAAAUACAGAAACCUUUGGAGGAUUGUAUAAAUAUAUUUCCUAUUUCAGAAGGACAGGGAGGUAAAUUCAGAAGAAUAGAAUUGAAGUCCUUCACAACAGCACACAAUAUUUCAGAAGUAUCAUCAACACCCCUCCCCAUCAAACCAGUAACAUUGGAAUUAUCUUGUCUGUUUAAAAACAAACAAACCUGGUACUGACAGAGAAAUAAGUCAUAGAUCUGUAAAUAUACUUUUAAUAACAAUAUUUUAUUUGGCAAAAGGAUAUCAUGUCUCUAAUUAUUAAUACAAGAUGUCACCUCUAAGGUACUACUCUGUGGCAAGUUAGAGGGAGGGAGAAAAAAACACUCUUGAUUGUGUGUAUGUGUGUGGGGGAGGGAUGCUUCACAAAUUUCUGCCAAACAUAAUGAGCACAAAUUCUAAGUUGUGUAUUUGUUUUGCUUAUUCUGCAAUCCUGCUCAAUGUACAUCCACUUAUGGAAAAGGGUCAAAAAAUGCUAAAACAAAUUGUUUUAAGUCAAUAUACAAGGGUUACACACCAUCUGACAACAGGUAUGGACAAAAAAAUAAUUAAUUAAAAUAAACAAAACUUAAAAACUCUAUUCUAUAGCACACAGGCUGCUGUGAGAUACAUGAAGAAGUAACACAGGUCUUGCUGAUUGUUCAAAAAAUAACAUUGAAGAGUUGGUUUGACCACAACAACACAGAUGCAGAGUCUCUGUUCACAAGAUAUACAUAGAUAUAUAUAUAUACAUAUAUAACAAUUACGACUCUGUUAGAUUAUAAAUGUAUAAUGACACAUCUUAAUUUUUUUUUUUAAGCUGAAAAAAAUUAGAAAAAAAUAAUAUACAGGAAGCACAAAGAAUUCCAAUCCUCAAAGAGAAACACUAAUUGGACAUAAAAGUUCAGGAGGGGGGGAGAAUAAGAGUUGACAAACAAGAAACAACGAAACAAAUGUUAUCACAAGAGCAGUUGACAUGACUUUACAAUGGUGCAUAAUUAUAACUUUUUUUGAAUUAGGAUGGCUGCUGUAGUGAUGUCAAGGAAGGGGAGGGGCUAUUAGAACUCAAGAAAUAUCUGAAUAUGUGAAUAAACUUAUGGUUACAUUUUUAUUCUAAUUAUUCUAGUGGGUAAUCAGUUCAUCUGAAACACAAUUAUUAUUUUCAAGUUCUGUCCACUUUAAAUGCUAAACAGUAAAAUAUAUCGUAUCUAAAACACAAUUAUUAUUUUCAAGUUCUAUCCACUCUAAAUGCUAAACAG